GACGAACCGUCCAGACGUUAUUCGGAAUUAUUGGGCUUAAAGGGUGCGUAGGCUGUGCAGUAAGUUGGGUGUGAAAGCCCUUGGCUCAACUGAGGAAGUGCACCCGAAACUGAGUGGCUAGAGUACGAAAGAGGGUCGCGGAAUUCCCGGUGUAGAGGUGAAAUUCGUAGAUAUCGGGAGGAACACCGGUGGCGAAGGCGGCGACCUGGGUCGAUACUGACGCUGAUGCGCGAAAGCGUGGGGAGCAAACAGG
rnacentral:rRNA from 1 species